AUGGAGUCAAUGGUGCAGGCCGAGCCAUCAUUGGAGGGAGAAACCGGCCGCACGUCCAAGAUGCUUCAAUCGGAAUCGUUGCUGAUUGCCAACAACAAGCCCCGUCACUGGAGAUGGAUAUCCCUCCCAGAUUCCAGGUUUGCCAAGUAUGCGGAGCUCCUGAGUGUGUACUUCCUCGCGAUCAGCGGAGAGGUCUCACCAGCAGACCUUUGCGCCGGUGCAAGCUACACCGUUUACCUAGUGUACAAGCUGGCGAGCAGCUCCUGUGGCUUGAGAGGUUUCGUGCAGACGUCGUCGCUUAGGCUCCACGGGGAGCAUACCGUCGCCACCAGCAAGGUUAGCCUCGGCCAGGAAGCGUGCGCAUCGGACAGCGAUGUUACCUACCCUGUCCCGAGGAGCGAUGGCUGGUUGGAGCUUAAGCUGGCGGAGUUCACAAAUGAUGACGAGAUGCGACAAGAGAAGGGGGUGAUCGUGGAUCUCCGUGAGGAGAACGUCGCCGUGGAGAAGAGAGGACUCAUCGUGGAGGGCAUGGAGUUCAGGAGCAAUUAG
rnacentral:rRNA from 1 species